rnacentral:rRNA from 1 species
AGUAACACGUGAGUAACCUGCCCUUAACUCUGGGAUAAGCCUGGGAAACUGGGUCUAAUACCGGAUAGGAGCGCCUACCGCAUGGUGGGUGUUGGAAAGAUUUAUCGGUUUUGGAUGGACUCGCGGCCUAUCAGCUUGUUGGUGAGGUAAUGGCUCACCAAGGCGACGACGGGUAGCCGGCCUGAGAGGGUGACCGGCCACACUGGGACUGAGACACGGCCCAGACUCCUACGGGAGGCAGCAGUGGGGAAUAUUGCACAAUGGGCGCAAGCCUGAUGCAGCGACGCCGCGUGAGGGAUGACGGCCUUCGGGUUGUAAACCUCUUUCAGUAGGGAAGAAGCGAAAGUGACGGUACCUGCAGAAGAAGCACCGGCUAACUACGUGCCAGCAGCCGCGGUAAUACGUAGGGUGCGAGCGUUAUCCGGAAUUAUUGGGCGUAAAGAGCUCGUAGGCGGUUUGUCGCGUCUGUCGUGAAAGUCCGGGGCUUAACCCCGGAUCUGCGGUGGGUACGGGCAGACUAGAGUGCAGUAGGGGAGACUGGAAUUCCUGGUGUAGCGGUGGAAUGCGCAGAUAUCAGGAGGAACACCGAUGGCGAAGGCAGGUCUCUGGGCUGUAACUGACGCUGAGGAGCGAAAGCAUGGGGAGCGAACAGGAUUAGAUACCCUGGUAGUCCAUGCCGUAAACGUUGGGCACUAGGUGUGGGGACCAUUCCACGGUUUCCGCGCCGCAGCUAACGCAUUAAGUGCCCCGCCUGGGAGUACGGCCGCAAGGCUAAAACUCAANGAAUUGACGGGGGCCCGCACAAGCGCGGAGCAUGCGGAUUAAUUCGAUGCAACGCGAAGAACCUUACCAAGCUUGACAUGUUCUCGAUCGCCGUAGAGAUACGGUUUCCCCUUUGGGGCGGGUUCACAGGUGGUGCAUGGUUGUCGUCAGCUCGUGUCGUGAGAUGUUGGGUUAAGUCCCGCAACGAGCGCAACCCUCGUUCCAUGUUGCCAGCACGUAGUGGUGGGGACUCAUGGGAGACUGCCGGGGUCAACUCGGAGGAAGGUGAGGACGACGUCAAAUCAUCAUGCCCCUUAUGUCUUGGGCUUCACGCAUGCUACAAUGGCCGGUACAAUGGGUUGCGAUACUGUGAGGUGGAGCUAAUCCCAAAAAGCCGGUCUCAGUUCGGAUUGGGGUCUGCAACUCGACCCCAUGAAGUCGGAGUCGCUAGUAAUCGCAGAUCAGCAACGCUGCGGUGAAUACGUUCCCGGG